UACGUAGGGUGCAAGCGUUAAUCGGAAUUACUGGGCGUAAAGCGUGCGCAGGCGGUUAUGUAAGACAGGUGUGAAAUCCCCGGGCUUAACCUGGGAACUGCAUUUGUGACUGCAUAGCUAGAGUACGGUAGAGGGGGAUGGAAUUCCUGGUGUAGCAGUGAAAUGCGUAGAUAUCAGGAGGAACAUCGAUGGCGAAGGCAGCCCCUUGGACCUGUACUGACGCUCAUGCACGAAAGCGUGGGGAGCAAACAGG
rnacentral:rRNA from 1 species